GACUUCUGACGGUUAAAAUUUAUGUUUUGAUUAGUAAAUGGAUCCCGGUGUAGAAAGAAUCUGUUUGAUAAUUGGAAUGAGUACAAUCUAAAUCCCUCAACGAGAAUCCAUUAGAAGGCAAGUCUGGUGCCAACAGCCACGGUAAUUCUAGCUCCAAUAGCGUAUAUUUAAGUUGUUACAGUUAAAAAGCUCGUAGUUGGACUUAGGGGUGGGUCAAUCGGUACACCUCACGGUUUGUAACAGCCUGUGUUCAGUGGAAUUGGAAUAAUGGUUUCGGGACCAUAAAUUUGAGGUCAAAAAAUUUAUUAUUAUUUUAUUUCCUACAGUAUGAUAGAAGUACUAUACAAAAAAUUUGUUAAGAAAUUUUACCGUUUACAUGUUCAAUUUGAUAAAAAGGACUAAAUCACGUAAAGUGCAAAAGUUGAGUUCUAAUUGCUAAAGGUAUUAAAUAGCUAUAGAACUUUAAAGUGGAAGUUCUUAUAUGGUAAUUAGACCAUUAGAAGUGAUAGUGGAUGAGCAUGGUUUGGCAUUUGUGUUAAUUUGAUUAAUUUUUAAGGUUAAUUAAGUAAUUUGUAAAAUAAUGAUAAUAUUAAUCAAAUAAAACUAAAAUCAUCAUCCUUAUUCAUCAUCAUCAACCGAUUUUAGAAGAGAAAAAUAAGCCAUUGUUGAGCUAGGGUUCGACCACUUGGAUUGCUUGAUUAGAUCCAGUUAGACCUCGUACGAAGUUAGAUUAGGAAAAAGAGAAAGUCUCAGAUUAAUCACUUUCGUAUCUACGAUUACUUGUCGAGGUAAGUUCAUGUAAUUAAAUUGUGUUUAUAUACUUUUAAUUGAAUUAUAUAAAUGUUAUGAGUUGUCAUUAUAAUUGUCGAGUGAAUAUCUAAUGACGUACGAUGAUUACUGAGUUUCGUGUGAACCUUAAGAAUCCAUAAGAUACAAAUGACAUGUCACUAGGGUUACCGAUUUAUAGUUCGUGAGAGCAUAUCGAUCUUCAGGUCAAAUGAGCAUAUCGAUUCAUAGCUCGUAUGAGCAUACAUGUACAUGAAUUGACGAAUUAUAGUUAUAUGAGCGAGCAUGUUAUGUAUGAGCUAUCCCGAGUAUCCAACGGUACUCUAAAUGGUUCAACGGGCAAUGUUCUGUUACAAAAUGAUAUGAGUUUGAUACGAACUGGUACAGGUAUACACAUGAAAUGCAUAGAAAUGAUGUUAUUGAUAUAUAGAUAUAUGAAAUGGAUGAUACAUGUAUAUGGAACUCUAUUAAUUGUUAAGCUCAUCCAGGAUUAUUUGUUCAUAUAUGUAUUUACAUGACUAAUAUUGUUGGUGUAUAUGUGCUUAGGCAUUUGGCCAAAAUAUGUUGGGAUAUGUUUUAUUACUUACCUAUUACUUGAUCAAAUGGUAAGUUAAAUCAUAUGUUAUACGAACUUACUAAGCUCAAAUGCUUACUCUGUGUUAUUUUCCGUGUUUUAUAGUGAGUUAGAAGUUCGUUUGGGUUAAAUUUUGGUUAUAAUGGCAUAUAAAGGAAUUUUGGCUAAUGUUGGCUUAUAUGUUUAGUUGUUGGAAUGAUCAUUUGUUUGGCUUGUGUUUUGGUAUUUUGAUGAUGGUAUUGGUUUGGUUUUGGCAUGCAAAUAUUAGAUUUAAUAUGGUUUAUGGCUUGGUUAAUGUGGUUGAAAUAUAGAAGAUGAAAUGAUAGAUGAUUAUGCAUAAUUUAUAUAACUUGUAACUUGAUGAGAAUUGGUACUUUGUUUGAAUAGCUUAAAUGACUAUUGAUGCUAAUAUUAGAAUGACAUUUUGGUACCAAAUGGUUGUGUUUUGGUAAGUAAAUUAUUUGGUAUAUAUUGGUGCAAAUAUGCAUAUAAGUUAGUUGAUUUUUUGGUCAAAUUGAAUACAUGGUUAGGUAUGCUUAUAUAUUGUCAUUUGAGGUCCCUAAGGGCAUAUUGGUUGUAUGAUAUUAUACCAUACGUAUAAGACUUGUUUAUUCUUGAUUUGGAUGCCUUGUAAUGGCUUGCAAGUAUGUGUGUAGGUACAUGUCAAUUUGGGUGAGAAAAAUGGCUUGUAAAAUGGCCUAUUUUUGUCCACACGGGUAGAGACACGGGCGUGUGUCUCAACCGUGUGUGACACACGACCGUGUGUCUCCUGUAGCUUUAAAAGGGUUGCUAGUUAGGUUGUUACAUGGCCUAGCACACGGCCUGGCACACAGGCGAGUGGCUUGGCCGUGUGACCCAAGUCAGCGAGUGAUGUGGGCACAAACACGGCCGUGUGUCCCUACUUCGAAUGCCCACACGGCCUGGCCACACAGCCAUGUGACUCCUACAGUGUUAAAAAUUUCAAUGUUUUCUGAAAAAUUCUCUAAGUUUCUGGUUUAGUCCCGACUUAUUUCUAAUGUGUAUUUUGGGCCUCGAGGACUCGUAUAAGGGACAAUUUGCAUGUUUUGAAUUGGUUUUAAUAUGUUUAAUGAUAUGUUAUGAAAUGUUUGAAUUUUCUGUUCGUUUGAAUUGUAAACUCCAGUAAUGCAUCGUAACCUUGUACCGGCAACGGAUACAAUCAGAGGUGUUACACGGUUAGCACUAGUCUGCUCGUUCUUACUGCCGACAAUGUAUUCCUGGCCUCAAUUGGUCGGGUUGUUCCUCCGGCACUGUUACUUUAAAGAAAUUAAUGUGCUGAAAAUAGGCAUACGCUUGUAUACAUUAGCAUGGGAUAACAUGAUAGGAUUUUGAUCCUAUUGUCAUGGCCUUCGAGAUCGGAGUAAUGAUUAACAGAGACAGUCAGGGAUAGUCAUAUUUCAUAGUCAGAGGUGAAAUUCUUGGAUUUAUGAAAGAUGAACAACUACGAAAACAUUUGCCAAGGAUGUUUCCAUUAAUCAAGAAUGAAAGUUGGGGGCUCGAAAAUGAUCUGAUAUCGUCCUAGUGUCAACCAUAAACGAUGCCGACCAGGGAUUGACGGAUGUUGCUUUUAGGACUCUAUCGACACCUUAUGAGAAAUUAGAGUCUUUGGGUUUUGGGGGGAGUAUUGUUGCAAUGAUGAAACUUAAAGGAAUUGACGUAAGGGCACUGCCAGAAGUGGAGCCUACGGCUUAACUUGACUCAACAUAGGAAAAUUUACCAAGUCCAGACAUAGUAGGGACAGACUGUGAGCUCUUUCUUGAUUCUAUAGAUGGUGGUGCAUGGCCAUUCUUAGUUGGUGGAGCGAUUUGUCUAGUUAAUUCCGUUAACGAAUGAGACCUCAGUCUACUAACUAGGUACACGCAGGUAAUCCUACGUAGCUAGCUUUUUAGAAGGACUAUGGCCUUUUAAGCCAUGGAAGUUUAAGGCAAUAACAGGUCUGUGAUGCCCUUCAAUGUUCUAUGCUGUACGUGCACUACAAUAAUGUCUUCAAAGAGUCUAUAACCUUGGUCGACAGGCUCGAGUAAUCUUUGAAAUUUCAUCGUGAUGGGGAUAGAUCAUUGCAAUUGUUGGUUUUCAAUGAGGAAUUCCUACUAAGCAUGAGUCAUCAGCUCGCGCUGACCAAGUGCCUACCCUUUGAACACACCGCCUGUCGCUCCUACCGAUUGAAUGGUCCAGUAAAGUGUUUGUAUCACGACGACGUGGGUUGUUCGCUGCCUGCAUCAUCGCGAGAAGUCCACUUAACCUUAUCAUUUAAAGGAAGGAGAAGUCAGGAUGUGUGCUCACCCCUCGCCACCCCCGCAUCUCAG
rnacentral:ncRNA from 1 species